UCCAGACUCCUACGGGAGGCAGCAGUGGGGGAUAUUGCACAAUGGGGGGAACCCUGAUGCAGCGACGCCGCGUGGGUGAAGGAGCGUUUCGGCGCGUAAAGCCCUCUCGGCAGGGAAGAAGGAGGACGGUACCUGACUAAGAAGCCCCGGCUAACUACGUGCCAGCAGCCGCGGGAAUACGUAGGGGGCAAGCGUUAUCCGGAUUUACUGGGUGUAAAGGGGGCGCAGACGGCAGCGCAAGCCAGGAGUGAAAUCCAUGGGCUUAACCCAUGAACUGCUAUUGAAACUGCACAGCUUGAGUGAAGUAGAGGUAGGCGGAAUUCCCGGUGUAGCGGUGAAAUGCGUAGAUAUCAGGAGGAACACCGGUGGCGAAGGCGGCCUGCUGGACUGCAACUGACGUUGAGGCCCGAAAGCGUGGGGAGCAAACAGGAUUAGAUACCCGAGUAC
rnacentral:rRNA from 1 species